CCUACGGGCGGCUGCAGUAGGGAAUAUUGCUCAAUGGGGGAAACCCUGAAGCAGCAACGCCGCGUGGAGGAUGAAGGUUUUCGGAUUGUAAACUCCUUUUGUUAGAGAAGAGAAUGACGGUAUCUAACGAAUAAGCACCGGCUAACUCCGUGCCAGCAGCCGCGGUAAUACGGAGGGUGCAAGCGUUACUCGGAAUCACUGGGCGUAAAGAGCGCGUAGGCGGGAUAGCAAGUCAGAUGUGAAAUCCUAUGGCUUAACCAUAGAACUGCAUUUGAAACUGUUAUUCUAGAGGAUGGGAGAGGUAGGUGGAAUUCUUGGUGUAGGGGUAAAAUCCGUAGAGAUCAAGAGGAAUACUCAUUGCGAAGGCGACCUGCGAGAACAUAACUGACGCUGAUGCGCGAAAGCGUGGGGAGCAAACAGGAUUAGAUACCCCUGUAGUC
rnacentral:rRNA from 1 species